CAGUCGCCACGGGAACACGGAGGGUGCAAGCGUUAAUCGGAAUUACUGGGCGUAAAGCGCACGCAGGCGGUCUGACAAGUCAGAUGUGAAAUCCCCGGGCUUAACCUGGGAACUGCAUUUGAAACUGUCAGGCUGGAGUCUUGUAGAGGGGGGUGGAAUUCCAGGUGUAGCGGUGAAAUGCGUAGAGAUCUGGAGGAAUACCGGUGGCGAAGGCGGCCCCCUGGACAAAGACUGACGCUCAGGUGCGAAAGCGUGGGGAGCAAACAGGAUUAGAUACCCCAGUAGUCCCUGUCUCUUAUAA
rnacentral:rRNA from 1 species